rnacentral:tRNA from 1 species
GCGGCAUUGAUGUAGCAGCAGCAUGCCUGUCUUCCAAGCAGAGCGCGCCGGUGCGAAUCCGGCAUGCCGCACCA